rnacentral:tRNA from 1 species
GCGGGGGUUGCCAAGCCAGGUCAAAGGCGCAGGCCUGUAGCGCCUGUCCCGUAGGGGUUCGUGGGUUCGAAUCCCACCCCCCGCA